UAGGGAAUCUUCCGCAAUGGGCGAAAGCCUGACGGAGCAACGCCGCGUGAGUGAUGAAGGUCUUCGGAUCGUAAAACUCUGUUAUUAGGGAAGAACAAAUGUGUAAGUAACUAUGCACGUCUUGACGGUACCUAAUCAGAAAGCCACGGCUAACUACGUGCCAGCAGCCGCGGUAAUACGUAGGUGGCAAGCGUUAUCCGGAAUUAUUGGGCGUAAAGCGCGCGUAGGCGGUUUUUUAAGUCUGAUGUGAAAGCCCACGGCUCAACCGUGGAGGGUCAUUGGAAACUGGAAAACUUGAGUGCAGAAGAGGAAAGUGGAAUUCCAUGUGUAGCGGUGAAAUGCGCAGAGAUAUGGAGGAACACCAGUGGCGAAGGCGACUUUCUGGUCUGUAACUGACGCUGAUGUGCGAAAUCGUGGGGAUCAAACAGG
rnacentral:rRNA from 1 species